UUACGUCUUCAGGGCGGGGUGAAACUCCCCACCGGCGGUAUGCCGCAGCGUGCGUUUCCGUACGAUGCAGCGAGCCCGCGAGCGCCUGCACAUGCCGUGCAGGGUCAGCAGACCUGGUGCGAUGCCAGGGCCGACGGUCAUAGUCCGGAUGAAAGAAGAUGGGC
rnacentral:ncRNA from 2 species